rnacentral:rRNA from 1 species
ACUACGGGGGGCAGCAGUGGGGAAUAUUGGGCAAUGGGCGCAAGCCUGACCCAGCAACGCCGCGUGAAGGAAGAAGGCUUUCGGGUUGUAAACUUCUUUUCUCAGGGACGAAGCAAGUGACGGUACCUGAGGAAUAAGCCACGGCUAACUACGUGCCAGCAGCCGCGGUAAUACGUAGGUGGCAAGCGUUAUCCGGAUUUACUGGGUGUAAAGGGCGUGUAGGCGGGAAAGCAAGUCAGAUGUGAAAACCAUGGGCUCAACCUGUGGCCUGCAUUUGAAACUGUUUUUCUUGAGUACUGGAGAGGCAGACGGAAUUCCUAGUGUAGCGGUGAAAUGCGUAGAUAUUAGGAGGAACACCAGUGGCGAAGGCGGUCUGCUGGACAGCAACUGACGCUGAGGCGCGAAAGCGUGGGGAGCAAACAGGAUUAGAUACCCGGGUAGUC